AGUCGAGUGAUGAAACACCUUCGGGUGUGAAUUAGCGGCGAACGGGUGAGGAACACGUGAAGAAUCUGCCUUCAACUCUGGGAUAACUCCGGGAAACCGGGGCUAAUACCGGAUAUGAGCCUUGAUCGCAUGAUCGGGGCUGGAAAGUUUUUCGGUUGAAGAUGACUUCGCGGCCUAUCAGCUUGUUGGUGAGGUAAUGGCUCACCAAGGCGACGACAGGUAGCCGGCCUGAGAGGGCGACCGGCCACACUGGGACUGAGACACGGCCCAGACUCCUACGGGAGGCAGCAGUGGGGAAUAUUGGGCAAUGGAGGAAACUCUGACCCAGCGACGCCACGUGAGGGAUGAAGGCCUUCGGGUUGUAAACCUCUUUCAGAAGGGAAGAAGCGAAAGUGACGGUACCUACAGAAGAAGCACCGGCUAACUAUGUGCCAGCAGCCGCGGUAAUACAUAGGGUGCAAGGGUUGUCCGGAAUUAUUGGGCGUAAAGAGCUCGUAGGUGGUUCGAUACUUCAGAUGUGAAAAUCAGGGGCUCAACCCCUGACCUGCAUCCGAUACGGUCGAGCUAGAGUUUGGUAGGGGAGACUGGAAUUCCUGGUGUAGCGGUGGAAUGCGCAGAUAUCAUGAGGAACACCGAUGGCGAAGGCAGGUCUCUGGGCCAAUACUGACACUGAGGAGCGAAAGCGUGGGGAGCGAACAGGAUUAGAUACCCUG
rnacentral:rRNA from 1 species